rnacentral:tRNA from 1 species
UUAGGUAUAGCUCGUUGGUAGAGCACUUGACUAAGUUGUACAAGGCCCUGGGUUCAAUCCCCAGUACCACAA